AUCUAGAAGACGAGUCUCAAAACAGGACGAAAUGAGAAUCCUGGAU
rnacentral:hammerhead_ribozyme from 1 species